rfam:Blastomyces gilchristii SLH14081 genomic scaffold supercont1.9, whole genome shotgun sequence.
CCCACCAAUUUUACAUGAUGAGAUACAAUCAAGAACCGAAUAUAUUUUAGGAAGAGCCGGAAGAGGUAUGACAUGCCGUCACAUCAAACCUCAUUGGACGACAGUUGCACUACAUUCCCAGCAUUGGAUCGAGAUUUUCCC